AAUAGAUACCCCGGUAGUCCAUGCCGUAAACGUUGGGAACUAGAUGUGGGGACCAUUCCACGGUCUCCGUGUCGCAGCUAACGCAUUAAGUUCCCCGCCUGGGGAGUACGGCCGCAAGGCUAAAACUCAAAGGAAUUGACGGGGGCCCGCACAAGCGGCGGAGCAUGCGGAUUAAUUCGAUGCAACGCGAAGAACCUUACCAAGGCUUGACAUACACGAGAACGCUGCAGAAAUGCAGAACUCUUUGGACACUCGUGAACAGGUGGUGCAUGGUUGUCGUCAGCUCGUGUCGUGAGAUGUUGGGUUAAGUCCCGCAACGAGCGCAACCCUCGUCUUAUGUUGCCAGCACGUAAUGGUGAGGACUCAUAAGAGACUGCCGGGGUCAACGUCGGAGGAAGGUGGGGAUGAGGUCAAAUCAUCAUGCCCCUUAUGUCUUGGGCUUCGCGCAUGCUACAAUGGCCGGUACAAAGGGCAGCAAUACCGCGAGGUGGAGCAAAUCCCAAAAAGCCGGUCUCAGUUCGGAUUGGA
rnacentral:rRNA from 1 species